rnacentral:rRNA from 1 species
AGAGUUUGAUCCUGGCUCAGAUUGAACGCUGGCGGCAGGCCUAACACAUGCAAGUCGAGCGGAUGAGAAGAGCUUGCUCUUCGAUUCAGCGGCGGACGGGUGAGUAAUACCUAGGAAUCUGCCUGGUAGUGGGGGACAACGUUUCGAAAGGAACGCUAAUACCGCAUACGUCCUACGGGAGAAAGCAGGGGACCUUCGGGCCUUGCGCUAUCAGAUGAGCCUAGGUCGGAUUAGCUAGUUGGUGAGGUAAUGGCUCACCAAGGCGACGAUCCGUAACUGGUCUGAGAGGAUGAUCAGUCACACUGGAACUGAGACACGGUCCAGACUCCUACGGGAGGCAGCAGUGGGGAAUAUUGGACAAUGGGCGAAAGCCUGAUCCAGCCAUGCCGCGUGUGUGAAGAAGGUCUUCGGAUUGUAAAGCACUUUAAGUUGGGAGGAAGGGCAGUAAGCGAAUACCUUGCUGUUUUGACGUUACCGACAGAAUAAGCACCGGCUAACUCUGUGCCAGCAGCCGCGGUAAUACAGAGGGUGCAAGCGUUAAUCGGAAUUACUGGGCGUAAAGCGCGCGUAGGUGGUUCGUUAAGUUGGAUGUGAAAUCCCCGGGCUCAACCUGGGAACUGCAUCCAAAACUGGCGAGCUAGAGUAGGGCAGAGGGUGGUGGAAUUUCCUGUGUAGCGGUGAAAUGCGUAGA